GUGGGGGCUUUACGGCUCACACACUCCUCACACCUCCGGCCCGGCAUCCCCGGGCCUU
rnacentral:sRNA from 1 species